rnacentral:piRNA from 1 species
CAUACCCAAUAAACAAUUUAGGAC